UGUGACCCUCCUGUGCCCGCAGAUCCAUGGUGGACACCUCUGCUUGGGAAUUUCCCAAAACUGGGGAAUUUCCCUGUUGGCAGGACCCCCCCAGGAAGGAAUCCCGCAGCUUUCCAAGGGAUGGGAAGGGCUUUCCACCACUGGGAUGAUGGCAGAGCUUUCCAAGGGUUUCCAAAGGCUGGGAAUUCCCUUUUCCUCCUUCCAGGAAUCCUGGCAUAGGGUACAGCACCUGCCCAUUCCCACUUUUCCUUUGGAAUCUGAGCAAACCCAUCCCAAAGGAAAGGAAGGAGCAGGGAAAGGAGAUCAGGCAGGAGGGAACCGCUUGGAAAAGGUGGAAUUUUGGCCAAAUAUCCCCCAAAAUCCAGGCUGGGACAAACCUGGAUCCUUUGGACAAAGUGGGAAGUGGCGUGAGGGGAUCCUGGGAUUCCAGCCAUGCAUGGAGUGCUUUGCUGUGCCGGAGUGUUCCCAAGUUUUUCCUGGAUUAUAAAGCAAUGGAAGAGUCCUUUAUCCUCACAUCACAGCCAGAAUUUUUCCUCUCUCCCUGUAAAUUCCCAAGCCUUGGAGACGAAGCGGAAGAAGAUCAGCAUUCCAGACUCGCCCUUGGAUUCCCAGGAAAAGUCAAGAGGGAUGGGAACUUCCAGAGGCAGCUGAGGAAUUGCCAAAACCUGGCUGAGCCCAGCUCCCAACCCCCCGGAACCUGAGAUCCCGGGAAGCACCAUCCGAUAGGGGCCAUCCCUGAAAUAUUCAUGGCCGGGACAGAGCUCGGAGCCGAAAGGAAUCUGCUCCCAGUGAAUUAUUGAUGGAAGCUUUUCUUCCGUGUCCCGGCGGAUCCGAGCCUUGUCCGACCGCCUGUCGCUAAUUAUCCCUCUGGCACCUGCUCCAAAGUUGGGAUCUGUGCCAGGCAUGGGAGAACUUGGGCUGAAAACCCCCACAGGCUGCCCAGGGCCUUCCCAUUCCCGUGUGGAAGUGGCGCUUGGGGACGUGGAUCAGUGCUGGGAAUGGCUGGGAUUUGGGAUAGUGGGAAAUUCAUCCGUGUCCAAAUAGAUAAGAAGGGGCCAAAAUUCCCAAAUCCGUGUGGCAUUUGGGCACGGAUCUUUGGGAUGUCACAGUGCCACCACCAGGAUGAACGGGAAAUUUGGGAUCCUUUCCAUCCUGGGGAAAAAAAGCCCCACUCAAGGUUUUCCAUCUUUUUUUCCCAACCCCUCCAUUAAGUUUAAUUAAAUUACGUUGAUCAUUUAA